UGUCAGGCUGAGAAGGACAUGGAGAGCUGAUGAUUAACACACUUCAGGGGAGAGUGGAGGUCGGCAUGAGACGACCUUGUUGAUGUUAAAACCUCACUGAAGUUUGCUACAACUCUGUAAAACAUUCAUGACCAAACUGUGUCGACGAAAUCACAGCUCACACAUGGAAAAACAUUGAGGAAAAAGUUGCUUGGCGCUUUGUUAGUGUCAGUUAAUAGUAUGAACAGAAGGUCAGGGUUCUUCAUUGUCCUUUAAAGAUUUUAGGUGCAAUCUUAUAACACAGAAAUGUUUCACUACCAGAAAUAAAAAGCAUUUUUCCAGUGUA